rnacentral:snoRNA from 1 species
CCUCACUGAUGAGUAACGUUUUCUGACUUUUCGUUCUUCUUGAGUUUGGCUGAAGCCAGAUGCAAUUUUCUGAGAAAG